rnacentral:rRNA from 1 species
UAUAAUGCAGUCGAGCGGACAGAUGGGAGCUUGCUCCCUGAUGUUAGCGGCGGACGGGUGAGUAACACGUGGGUAACCUGCCUGUAAGACUGGGAUAACUCCGGGAAACCGGGGCUAAUACCGGAUGCUUGUUUGAACCGCAUGGUUCAAACAUAAAAGGUGGCUUCGGCUACCACUUACAGAUGGACCCGCGGCGCAUUAGCUAGUUGGUGAGGUAACGGCUCACCAAGGCGACGAUGCGUAGCCGACCUGAGAGGGUGAUCGGCCACACUGGGACUGAGACACGGCCCAGACUCCUACGGGAGGCAGCAGUAGGGAAUCUUCCGCAAUGGACGAAAGUCUGACGGAGCAACGCCGCGUGAGUGAUGAAGGUUUUCGGAUCGUAAAGCUCUGUUGUUAGGGAAGAACAAGUGCCGUUCAAAUAGGGCGGCACCUUGACGGUACCUAACCAGAAAGCCACGGCUAACUACGUGCCAGCAGCCGCGGUAAUACGUAGGUGGCAAGCGUUGUCCGGAAUUAUUGGGCGUAAAGGGCUCGCAGGCGGUUUCUUAAGUCUGAUGUGAAAGCCCCCGGCUCAACCGGGGAGGGUCAUUGGAAACUGGGGAACUUGAGUGCAGAAGAGGAGAGUGGAAUUCCACGUGUAGCGGUGAAAUGCGUAGAGAUGUGGAGGAACACCAGUGGCGAAGGCGACUCUCUGGUCUGUAACUGACGCUGAGGAGCGAAAGCGUGGGGAGCGAACAGGAUUAGAUACCCUGGUAGUCCACGCCGUAAACGAUGAGUGCUAAGUGUUAGGGGGUUUCCGCCCCUUAGUGCUGCAGCUAACGCAUUAA